AAGUCGUAACAAGGUCUCCGUUGGUGAACCAGCGGAGGGAUCAUUACCGAGUUAUACAACUCAUCAACCCCUGUGAACUUACCUAUAACGUUGCUUCGGCGGGAACAGACGGCCCCGUAAAACGGGCCGCCCCCGCCAGAGGACCCCUAACUCUGUUUUUGUAAUGUUUUUCUGAGUAAACAAGCAAAUAAAUUAAAACUUUCAACAACGGAUCUCUUGGCUCUG
rnacentral:misc_RNA from 1 species